UCAGCCCGCCGGGGCAGCUGCACGAUGUUGGUGUGAGGGAGCAGGAAAACACUGAGGGACAGAAGUGUGUGUGUGUGUGUGUGUGUGUGUGUGUGUGUGUGUGUGUGUGUGUGUGUGUGUGUGUGUGUGUGUGUGUGUGUGUGUGUGUGUGUGUGUGUGUGUGUGUG